rnacentral:rRNA from 1 species
GACGAACGCUGGCGACGUGCUUAACACAUGCAAGUCGAACGAGGUCCAUCCGGUGCUUGCAUCGGAGAAGACCUAGUGGCGAACGGGUGCGUAACACGUGAGCAACCUGCCCCGAAGACCGGGAUAACAGCGGGAAACCGCUGCUAAUACCGGAUAUCCCCACCAGAUCGCAUGGUCAGGUGAGGAAAGGCCUGGAUCUCUUGAGAACCAGACGCUACGGGAGGGGCUCGCGGCCUAUCAGCUUGUUGGUGGGGUAACGGCUCACCAAGGCAACGAC